rnacentral:tRNA from 1 species
GGUUGUGGCUCAAUGGUAGAGCACUUCCCUAGCAUAUGUGAGGCACUGGGUUCAAUACUCAGCACCA